AAUAAUUUAUUUGAUGGUUUCUUACUACAUGGAUAACCGUAGUAAUUCUAGAGCUAAUACAUGCGUAAAGUCCCGACUCUCGCGGGGAGGGAUGUAUUUAUUAGAUUAAAAACCAAUGCGGCCUUUGGUCGGACUUGUGUUGAUUCAUAGUAACUUUUCGGAUCGCAGGGCUUCACGCCGGCGACAGUUCAUUCAAAUUUCUGCCCUAUCAGCUUUCGACGGUAGUGUAGUGGACUACCGUGGCAUUUACGGGUGACGGAGAAUUAGGGUUCGAUUCCGGAGAGGGAGCCUGAGAAACGGCUACCACA
rnacentral:rRNA from 1 species